GCUGAACACAAUACAAAGGCAGAAUAUGAAAUCCAGUUUAUUCGGAUACAUUUUAACAACUCAUUUCAUAUAACACAUCGUUUUUAUUUGGACACAGGAGUGUUCUUUUAACCUAUUAAAGACAAACCAUACCCCUGACCAUACCCACCAGAGAAAGAGAGCGAGAAUAGACAGUAUUACCUAGAAAUAGGAUCUAACCUCAUCUGCACAAAGGCCAAUUUUUUUCUCCUCCUUUAAUACUCAUACUUUUUUAUUAUAUAUAGUGUGGUUGGGUUGGCUGAAUGAGGCGAGUGUAUAUGGGUCUGCGUAAAUGGGAUGGCUGUGUAUAGUGAUUGAUGUAUGUGGGGAUUGUGACUGAGGGUUCCUCAUAAACACAUUUUGCAAACCAUUCUUCUAUUCUGGCACUCACUGAAUAAGUCACAAUAUUGCCAUGGCAACCAACUUGAAGCACUGAUUCAUUCACUGAACGCUGGGACUGCAUGGAAGCUUUAAAGUGGUAAAUAGCCGCCGGUGAUGCAGACUACUGUCAGUAUAUUUAUAUUGGCAGACAUUUUGUGCUAAAACAGAAAUUAAAAGUGUAUAUUGCCAGUCACACUUAGAACAAGGCUGACUCCAUUUUUGUAUUUUCAGGCAAGACAGACACAGAAUUUCUUUCUUUCUGUAACUCUAUUCAUUCAAGUCUGAGCUAAGAAAUGUGUUAUGUAAACAAGAUAAGGUAUGGUGUCUCACAAGGAUGGGGGAAGGAAUACUAAC